GCCAGUACUUGUUGUCGACUCCAGUGUUCGAAUUUUAGGCUUUUUUUGUGGUGUAAUGAUAAUUUGAGAGGCACUAUCAAAGGGAGGCAUGUGAAGAGGCUUUUAACUUUUAUUAACUACGGUUGUAAGCUGUGAAAAGCACAAAUUUGAAAACAAUGAAUAAACAAUGGAGAAAUGUGCUUCAAUUAUGGUUUAUAAAUGUAUCAGUCAAGUGAUUCAGUGAUAAAAUGACCACCACCACCCACCCACCCACCCACCACCAUGUAGUGGGGGUGGCUAGGGUUCGGUCAAGCAGUCUGCCCUGAUACUCUGUGACGUGAAGAUCUGCGUGUCCUGCUACUCUCAUCCUGCCGGUACGAUUGCUAUUGUCUCAUUGGUGUGGUGACUGUGACCUGCCCUGACCUGCCUGUGACCUGCCCUGACCUGCCUGUGACCUGCCUGUGACCUGCUUUUGACCUGCCUUGACUUCCUCUGACACACAUGGUGAACCGAGACCUUCCGAGACCUUCCAAGACCUUCCAAAAUCUGCCGUGACCCACAGAUGAAGAUGUAUAGAUUUAAGAAGUGCGAUGAUGCGACACACAGACAGACAGACAGACAGACAGGUGUGGGAUGAGUGCUGGCAUACUGAAGGUCAAGAGGUCAAGAGUCACGUGUUGAGUUGUAUGGGUCACCAGACAGGUCACCCACCUAACCCCACUCGGCCUGUCAGUUCAGCGGCAACACUGUCAUGGAAGAAUUUGCCGCAAGCUGUGCCUCUCUGUGCUUGUUAUCCGAACCUUGUGUCUAAUAUUGCCUUAAUGUUGUGUGUGUGUGUGUGUGUGUGUGUGUGUGUGUGUGAGAGAGAGAGAGAGAGAGAUUUUGUUACUCGUCAUGUCCCCUGUACCAACUGAAGACCUCCACCAGACCCCCUCUUAGUCACCCUUGUUGUGUCCCCUGUACCACUUGAAGACCUCCACCAGACCCCCUCUUAGUCACCCUUGUCAUGUCCCCUGUACCACUUGGUCUCCACCUGACCCCCUCUUAGUCACCCUUGUUGUGUCCCCUGUACCACUUGAAGACCUCCACCAGACCCCCUCUUAGUCACCCUUGUUGUGUCCCCUGUACCACUUGAAGACCUCCACCAGACCCCCUCUUAGUCACCCUUCUCUUGAGGUACAAGUGUCUAGUCAUCCUUCCUAUGUCAUCCUUGUGUAAUCAGGAAUAAUUAUCAGCAUUUGUUCUCCUCCUCUUCCUCCUCCUUCUGUCUGUCUGUCUGUCUGUCUGUCUGUCUGUCUGUCUGUCUGCCUACCAGUUAAAAUGAUCAAUGUAGUCAGUUAUACUUGUGGAUACUGUGUGUGUGUGUGUGUGUGUGCGUGCGUGUAUAUGAAUUAAUGUUUAUUGUGAAGUAUCUGCCUGCCUGCUUGCAAAUUAAUCAUCAAUAUAGUUACUGUUUGUGUGUGUUUGUUAUAAAGCAAUCUUGUGUAUAUUAUUGAUUGUAUUCCACAUGUAUGGGCUGGCCAGACGUGAUGUACUGUGACAGCCAGAACCUUGACAUAUACUGCUUGAUAAAAUGAAAAUAAGCAAAAAUACACGAAUAAAGUACAAAUUUUGAGCCAAACUAAUGAGGACUUUCUCUCGUCUUUUUCAGAGGUGCGUACAUCUGCGAGUCACUCCAACCAACUUCUUAUAUCCUACCUUAUUCUGAUAUAUUAGGUUAGAUUCAGUUAGGUUACUUAUAUUGGGGGUCUGUCUUCCUUACUAACAAAAUUAACCUAACCCAUUCCUUCCUUCUCGUCAAGCUGUCGGUGGGAGAAGCCCCAGGACUCUCAAGCGUGGGUUGAGUCACAACUGCGGGUGUGCUAGCUCACCUUGAAGUCCGGCGGGGCUCACGUGUUGCAGUGUUGCAGUGUUGCAGAUCUUCACCCAAACAAGGGGAGUAUUGUUUUUUUGUGUUUUGUAUAUAUAUAUAUUUUUGUGGGGGGGAGGGGGUCUGGGGAUAGCUAUCUGCGGUGUGCGUCUGUGCGUGCGUCUGUGUGUGCGUCUGUGUGUGCGUCUGUGCGUGUGCGUCUGUGCACGUGCGUCUGUGUGCGUGCAUCUGUGUGUAUGUCUUUUUUUUGGUUGUGUGUGUGUGAAUUUUUUUUUGGUAUAAAUAUAUAGGUGGCAGGCCAUAGUGUUAGGAUAUUUGACAGAUUAAUAUAGAAGAUAGUUUAAGUUAGUUAUUGAUAUAGAAGAUGGUUUAAGUUAGUUAAGGGUUAAGUGAGGCAUAGAGAGAGAGAGAGAGAGAGAGGAGAAGACAGAUAUUAAUAGGAUUAGCUUAUAUUUUUUUUAGGGUUUUAAGUAAGUAUCUAGGUGGCAGGUCAGAAUGAUAUAAUAUUUAACUCAGAUUAAUAUAGAAGAUGGUUUUAAGUUAGUAUAUAUCAAAGGGUUAAGUGAGGCAUAGAGAGAGAGAGAGAGAAAGGGUUAAUAGUAUUAGGAUGACAGGAGUAUAUAUCAAAGGGUUAAGUGAGGCAUAGAGAGAGAGAGAGAGAAAGGGUUAUUAAUAGGAUGACAGGAGUAUAUAUCAAAGGGUUAAGUGAGGCAUAGAAAGGGUUAUUAAUAGGAUUAGGAUGACAGGGUGUGUGAAUGUUUAACUCAGAUUAUAUUGAAAGUUUAUUUCUUUAUAAUCUGAGUUUGUAUGGCAUGUUGAGUAUUAGUAUGUUAU